rnacentral:rRNA from 1 species
AGAGUUUGAUCCUGGCUCAGGACGAACGCUGGCGGCGUGCUUUAUACAUGCAAGUCGAACGAUGAAGUUCCUUCGGGAAUGGAUUAGUGGCGAACGGGUGAGGAACACGUGAGAAACCUGCCUUUCAUUCUGGGAUAACACCGGGAAACCGGUGCUAAUACCGGAUACUCCGUCUUGGCGGCAUCGCCGAGCCGGGAAAAGAUUUUGAUGAAAGAUGGUCUCGCGGCCUAUCAGCUAGUUGGUGAGGUAAUGGCUCACCAAGGCAACGACGGGUAGCUGGUCUGAGAGGAUGAUCAGCCACACUGGGACUGAGACACGGCCUAGACUCCUACGGGAGGCAGCAGUGGGGAAUCUUGCGCAAUGGGCGAAAGCCUGACGCAGCAACGCCGCGUGCGGGAUGAAGGCCUUCGGGCUGUAAACCGCUUUCAGCAGGAACGAAAAUGACGGUACCUGCAGAAGAAGGAGCGGCCAACUACGUGCCAGCAGCCGCGGUGACACGUAGGCUCCAAGCGUUGUCCGGAUUUAUUGGGCGUAAAGAGCUCGUAGGCGGUUGAGUAAGUCGGGUGUGAAAACUCUGGGCUUAACCCGGAGACGCCAUCCGAUACUGCUCUGACUAGAGUUCAGGAGGGGAGUGGGGAAUUCCUAGUGUAGCGGUGAAAUGCGCAGAUAUUAGGAGGAACACCGGUGGCGAAGGCGCCACUCUGGACUGAAACUGACGCUGAGGAGCGAAAGCAUGGGUAGCAAACAGGAUUAGAUACCCUGGUAGUCCAUGCCGUAAACGGUGGGCACUAGGUGUGGGUUCCAACUAACGGGAUCCGCGCCGUCGCUAACGCAUUAAGUGCCCCGCCUGGGGAGUACGGUCGCAAGACUAAAACUCAAAGGAAUUGACGGGGGCCCGCACAAGCGGCGGAGCAUGCGGAUUAAUUCGAUGCAACGCGAAGAACCUUACCAAGGCUUGACAUGUAGAGGAAAAGUGCAGAAAUGCACUCCCCGCAAGGUCUCUACACAGGUGGUGCAUGGUUGUCGUCAGCUCGUGUCGUGAGAUGUUGGGUUAAGUCCCGCAACGAGCGCAACCCUCGUCCUAUGUUGCCAGCACGUUAUGGUGGGAACUCAUGGGAUACUGCCGGGGUCAACUCGGAGGAAGGUGGGGAUGACGUCAAAUCAUCAUGCCCCUUAUGUCUUGGGCUUCACGCAUGCUACAAUGGCCAGUACAGAGGGCUGCAAUACCGUAAGGUGGAGCGAAUCCCAAAAAGCUGGUCUCAGUUCGGAUUGAGGUCUGCAACUCGACCUCAUGAAGUCGGAAUCGCUAGUAAUCGCAAAUCAGAACGUUGCGGUGAAUACGUUCCCGGGCCUUGUACACACCGCCCGUCACACCAUGGGAGUGGGCUGCGCCAGAAGCAGAUGGCUUAACCGCAAGGAGGGCGUUUGCCACGGUGUGGUUCAUGACUGGGGUGAAGUCGUAACAAGGUAACC